rnacentral:rRNA from 1 species
UACCGGCAGUCCAAGUUGCAACCAACAUUAUUGGGUCUAAAACAUCCGUAGCUUGCUUACAAAGUUUCUUGUGAAAUUCUACGUCUCAAGCGUGGAGCUUGCAAGAAAUACUUGUAAGCUAGAGACCGGUAGAUGUGGGGAGUACGCCCAAGGUAGUGGUAAAAUACGUUAAUCUUGGGUGGACUAACGAUUGGCGAAGGCACCCUGCAAGGACGGAUCUGACAGUGAGGGAUGAAGGCCAGGGGCGCAAAACGGAUUAGAUACCCUCGUA